ACGAACGCUGGCGGCGUGCUUAAUACAUGCAAGUCGAGCGAGGUUGCGUUUCAGCUUGCUGAAACGUAGCUUAGCGGCGGACGGGUGAGUAACGCGUGGGCAAUCUGCCCUCUAGCCUGGGAUAACAGUUCGAAAGGACUGCUAACACCGGAUAUGAUGGUAACACGGCAUCGUGAAGCCAUGAAAGUUUACACUAGAGGAUGAGCCCGCGUCCCAUUAGCUAGUUGGUGAGGUAACGGCCCACCAAGGCGACGAUGGGUAGCCGACCUGAGAGGGUGAACGGCCACACUGGGACUGAGACACGGCCCAGACUCCUACGGGAGGCAGCAGUAGGGAAUUUUCCGCAAUGGGCGAAAGCCUGACGGAGCAACGCCGCGUGAGGGAUGAAGGUCUUCAGAUCGUAAACCUUUGUCUAGAGGGACGAUAAUGACGGUGCCUCUGGAGGAAGCCACGGCUAACUACGUGCCAGCAGCCGCGGUAAUACGUAGGUGGCAAGCGUUGUCCGGAAUUACUGGGCGUAAAGGGCGUGUAGGCGGCCUUUUUAAGUCAGACGUGAAAACCCUGGGCUUAACCCAGGACCUGCGUUUGAUACUGAAGGGCUUGAGGACCAGAGAGGAUAGUGGAAUUCCCAGUGUAGCGGUGAAAUGCGUAGAUAUUGGGAGGAACACCAGUGGCGAAGGCGACUGUCUGGACGGCACCUGACGCUGAGGCGCGAAAGCCAGGGGAGCAAACGGGAUUAGAUACCCCGGUAGUCCUGGCUGUAAACGAUGGGUACUAGGUGUGGGAGGUAUCGACCCCUUCCGUGCCGCAGCUAACACAAUAAGUACCCCGCCUGGGGAGU
rnacentral:rRNA from 1 species